rnacentral:rRNA from 1 species
CCUACGGGGUGCAGCAGUGAGGAAUAUUGGUCAAUGGACGAGAGUCUGAACCAGCCAAGUAGCGUGAAGGAUGACUGCCCUAUGGGUUGUAAACUUCUUUUAUAUGGGAAUAAAACGUUCCACGUGUGGGAUUUUGUAUGUACCAUAUGAAUAAGGAUCGGCUAACUCCGUGCCAGCAGCCGCGGUAAUACGGAGGAUCCGAGCGUUAUCCGGAUUUAUUGGGUUUAAAGGGAGCGUAGGUGGAUUGUUAAGUCAGUUGUGAAAGUUUGCGGCUCAACCGUAAAAUUGCAGUUGAAACUGGCAGUCUUGAGUACAGUAGAGGUGGGCGGAAUUCGUGGUGUAGCGGUGAAAUGCUUAGAUAUCACGAAGAACGCCGAUUGCGAAGGCAGUUCACUGGACUGCAACUGACACUGAGGCUCGAAAGUGUGGGUAUCAAACAGGAUUAGAUACCCUAGUAGUC